CCGACAUCGAGGCCUUUGACGUAGAAGGGGGUGCCUUUCAAGUCCAAGACUCAUACCAUUCUCUUCUUUGGGUAAGCAGUGAUCUUCCAUCGAGCUUUCUUCCAGUUCUUCCUCAGUAUGACAUUUCAUUAUUUUACUCUCCUUUCUUCUUUUUUUAGCUCAUCCAUCACAUGGAUCAUUUUAUUAAGAUGGUCUAAGAAGCUCGAUGGAUUUCUUGGGAGGCCGAGGAAAAGGCCAGCCAGGCCAACAGAAGGGCGGACAACGCCC
rnacentral:lncRNA from 1 species